CACUUCAGUUGAAAAUGGAGGGGAUGAGCUGUGGGUAGGGGUGAAAGGCCAAUCAAACUUCGUGAUAGCUGGUUCUCCCCGAAAUGCAUUUAGGUGCAGCGUUGCGUGUUUCUUGCCGGAGGUAGAGCUACUGGAUGGCUAAUGGGCCCUACCAGGUUACUGACGUCAGCCAAACUCCGAAUGCCGGUAAGUGAGAGCGCAGCAGUGAGACCGUGGGGAAUAAGCUUCAUGGUCGAGAGGGAAACAGCCCAGACCACCGACUAAGGCCCCUAAGCGUGUGCUAAGUGGGAAAGGAUGUGGAGUUGCUUAGACAACCAGGAGGUUGGCUUAGAAGCAGCCACCCUUGAAAGAGUGCGUAAUAGCUCACUGG
rnacentral:ncRNA from 2 species